rnacentral:rRNA from 1 species
UACAGGGGGUGCAAACGUUGCUCGGAAUCAUUGGGCGUAAAGCGCACGUAGGCGGCCUGCUAAGUCACACGUGAAAUCCCUCGGCUCAACCGGGGAACUGCGUGUGAUACUGGCGGGCUUGAAUUCGGGAGAGGGAUGUGGAAUUCCAGGUGUAGCGGUGAAAUGCGUAGAUAUCAGGAGGAACACCGGUGGCGAAGGCGCUCAUCUGGCCCAAUACUGACGCUGAGGCGCGAAAGCUAGGGGAGCAAACGGG